rnacentral:sRNA from 1 species
CUGGCACUAUUUUUGGCCAUCUUUCAUUGGAGAACGAGAAUGAAAAGCGAUAGCGAGAGAAAUCAGACUACCGCCUUUUCUCAUAAACGGUGUGGCACAGAUUGAUCUGUUGGCGCAUAGCUAUACACUAUAGACUUCCAUUCCUAUUUCUCAAUCUACUAAAAGAUAUUAUAAGUAAUAUAAGUAAUUAUAUGUAAAGAUUUACUUUUUACUUGUCUGUUAUUGCUGGUGCUGCCGAUAGUUCGAUGUUGCGGCCGGCAGUGUGAGGAAAAAUUUUGGUAUUCGCUGUGAUAUAAUUGUAUAUGAAAAUUAACGAGCUGCAAUUAUUUAAGACUCUUCACUUUUGUCCAGAGCGACGAAAUAUUCUGCAAAAUUUUUACUUAUUAGCUAUGCCAGCGGCACAGUGUGACCCAUCAACAUUCAGUAAUAUGUUUCAGUGAACGGCUACACUGUUCGAUGCGAACAAGUCGAAAGGUCUUUCGCCGGACGAAUUAGCGAGAUUAGCGAGAGAACACAGCGAUGCGGCCACCAGCGAGUCUUGCCCAGCGACAGUCUUUGUCACAUCCAAAAUGGCCUUAUACCCUGGAGUGCGUUUAAGCCCAUGGCAUUUCUACACUCAGUGCAACGAGAUCAUUUAAACGCAAAACAAUACUAUUUCGUGGAUUGAUCAACAAAGUCAAUACAGUUUCAGGAAAAGUUAUCGCUGAGCCGCUGAGGGGUACGUACCUUUGAAUGUCUUAUGGUCGUUGCAGAUUUUGUGAUGCCUUCUGCAUUGUUCUGUGAGAUUGAAAUGUAAGUCAAAUGUGAUACAGACAGCAAACAAUAACUAACUUAAGCGUUUAAUGCAUAUUGUAUGUGUGCAGCUGGUGACAAUUGACCUGCCCUGAAAGAAUUUCCGUACCUUAGAGCCCUUAGAGUCACGUUGGAAUGUAUGGCAAAAAUUCGAUAAUGUUCAUUUGGUGGGAUGUUCAGCUACUUUUGAGCUUAGCUCGCUUAAGCCUCUGGCGCUCUUAGCCAGUUCAAGUGAUCAACUGGGGGCCGGACUCUAAUGACUCCAGCUUGGCCUAAUCACUCCGCUUCACAGAACUUUAUCGGAAGUGGUGGGGCAUCGGAUGUGGGGCGUGGUCUGCGUGUGCUGCUUGGGCAAUGUCCAGCCGCAGGCAGAGCUAAAGAGAGCGAGAGAGAGAGGGGGAGAGACUGCCGUCUUACCGCAUCACAUAGCCCUGCCAAUUUAUUUAAUAUGCCGUACGUGAGCUUCCGCCGUUUCGUUUAUGGGGCUCUGCCACUCCACCGACUCAGAUUCAUCCUCUCU